CUCAUUUAUUUUGGUUGAAAAACACGAUAUAUCACAAGGAUUGUCAUAUAAACAUACAAGCUCUAUCAAGUUGAAUUUCGUGAUUAUCCGAGUCGAUUCAUAACAUUUUGAUGAAUACUAGGACAUAUUUGUAUAUUUUUGCUCCAUUUUUCUCUGUUUAUAACUAUGGAUUUUCACCCCCUUUUCUCUAUGAGCUAAGGAUGAGCAUUUGAGUUGAAAGAGCAUCAUCAGAUACCCAUUUUCUGCCAUGGCCACUGUGUAUCGAGUUAAAGAGAGCAGAGAGGCAUGAACGGAAGCGAAUGCAAAAUUAUAAAGUGCAGGCGGAGCGACUCUCUGCAUUCGAAGAAUUGCUUAAUGAGAUUUAUACAGUUUGUCGCCCUAAACCAAGGGAUUAUGAAGUCAGGAGAGAUUUGAUUUCUGCUUUUAAUGAGAUAGCAAAGUGUUGAUGAAGGAUGAAAACUUGGGCAAAAGCGCAGAAUAUUAAUAGCUCAAAAGACAAAACUUUGAACUCAUUAUCUGUAAUACUUUUGGUUGCUUUUCAUUUGCAGGUAUGAGCCUAGUACAUGUUAUUUCUCUGUUGCCGUCUUACUCUUUUUUUCUUGCUUACAUAUUAUGGACAGCAUGCUGAUUACUUUGAGUCAAUAUAAAUUGUGCCUUCAGCUGAAUGUUUUGUUAUCGCGGUUAAUCCGUCUGCCAGUGUAGGAGUUACUGGUCAACUAAUAACAUAACCUUACACAGCCUACUCUAUGGUAAAACUGAUUGUAGCUAUGAAUAAAAUCUUCACCGUAUUAGAAGAAAAUUUACUCUAGCAAGUCUGGACAGAUGUAGUUUCAAUGCAGCAAAUAGUUAUACAAAAAAUGUUACCUUCUCAAAAAAAAUUUAGAAGAAGAUCUACUCUGGUGAAAUCAUAGGAUUUAGAUUUAAUCUGUUGUGGUUAUUCGACUCUUUUUUUUUUCAAUGCCCUCUCAUGAUUUUGUUGCUUUCUUGUUUUAUUUAAUAGGGACCUUCAUUUUAGUGAUUCAAUGCUCUGAGCUAUAAUACCUUCUAUGAAAGCUAUUCUAAGCAAAACAGAAUUCCCAAAGUCUUAAAAAUGUGGUGACAAGACCAAAUUUAUAUUUUCAAACUUGAAGAAAAAACAAAGUCUAUCCUAUUAUAUUUUGGGGUCGUGUGGAGUUCUCCCGCUAAUGAAUGAUAUUUUGCAGACACGAAAUCCUCCAAUACUAGCACCAUUUUCUGCCAUAUUAGAAGGUAACUAUGGAUCUUUACUAUAAUAAAAUGUAUAAUAGGAAAUCCGUAUAUCCUUUCUGAUUAGAAAGUGAGGAACUAAAAUCAUCACCAUAAGAUUCUUGAUCCCAAGUGAUGCUUCUCUUUGCACUUGUUUUUUUCAUGAGAUGUUUUGUUUUGAGUAGCUCGUUCUAGAUAGCUCUGAUCCUGAUGCGGUGGCGAAGUCAUUGAAGAAGUUUGUGAAACAAAGAGUCAGUGGCUGAACUGCUAGUUACACUGUUAAUCAAGUUAUUGAGAAGCUAUGGGCUAAAGGACUAUGUGCAAGAGCGUCUUGGCUAUCUAAAACAUGGGACUCCAAAGUUUGCUGCAUUAUGUUUCACUUAUUGACGUAAUGGCUUAUCGUGCAGGUUGAGAAAGGAGAAGUAAAACGGAUAUACAAGUGUAUACAUUUCUGCUGGUCUGAUCGAAAUACCCAAAGUAAAGUCUCAGUUGUUUGGCAAUGCUGAGAGAUGGAACAUUAAACAAGAUGGAAAUAUAAUCACUCUUCAUUCAAGAAUACGUUCAGCAUAUAAGCACGACGGUAGCUUUCUCUAGUGUCAAAAUUCAAGUGGUAUGAUUUUCUUUAUGAAUUCAAUUGUUAUUACCAUUUAAAACUAUUCCUCAAAAUCAAAGUCAUGUAAAAAAUGGUGUAUGAGAAUGGAAUAAUUAACUUCAUUCUUGUACAUAACAAUCGUGGUGGUGAAGUUUGAUUUAAAGUGACUAUAUGUUCGUAUUUUAAAAAAAAUUAUUAUUU